GGGUCACUUGUGGGAUCACCACCAGGGGCUUAAUGCUGUGACCAAAGAGUGAAGUUCUCCAAAGAAUGUGAUAGUGGCUUAACUGUGCUGUGUUUUCCUGCGGAGACAAAAGC
ensembl:snoRNA